UUUUAGGUUUAUUCUCAAUGCCGUAUUGCACCCAAAUACUUAAAUCGGUCUCCAGUUGCAUCAAAUCUAGCGGUUGAUAUUGUGCAAGGGGAGAGAUUGACUGCUUUGCUAAUUACUCUCUACUGCUAAUACUAGACCGACAGAACAAAAUUUAGAGGGAGGCAUUGCUCACUAUCGACAUGAUGCAAAAUAUCUGCCUUGAUGCAAAACAUAUGCCUCCUCCUUCCUUAUCUCUACCCUCAAGCUUAUAACCGUAUUAUCUCUUCUCCCUCACUUUUGUUGCAUAUGAUCCAAUAUGAGUUAAGCGACAUGUAGAUUCUAACUAGUCCACCAAAGAGGCCCUUAGCUAAUUGCUACUUUAAACAUCACUCCAAAGGACAUUGUGUUCCUAGAUUCCUCCCAAUCCUACCUGACUCAUUUUUUUUCCAUGAGUCAUAGUGGCCAAGUGCAUACAACAAUAUGAAGCAUGUACACAUUGUUAUAGUAUUACCAUUACAAGUCACUAAUUUAUAUGGUCAUGUAUGCUAGGGUCUUCAGUUCAGAUCACAUAGUUGACAUAUGCUCGUACGUACUCCCUCCAUUCCAGACU
rnacentral:lncRNA from 1 species